ACGGGAGGCAGCGGUGAGGAGUAUUGGUCAAUGGGCGGAAGCCUGAGCCAGCCAAGUCGCGUGAAGGAUGAAGGUAUUAUGUAUUGUAAACUUCUUUAGCAGUGGAGUAAUAAGGGGAUCGUGAUCCCUGAUGCAAGUACACUGAAAAUAAGGAUCGGCUAACUCCGUGCCAGCAGCCGCGGUAAUACGGAGGAUCCGAGCGUUAUCCGGAUUUAUUGGGUUUAAAGGGUGCGCAGGCGGCUUUUUAAGUCAGCGGUAAAAUCGUGGGGCUCAACCCCAUCCUGCCGUUGAUACUGGAGAGCUUGAUUGCGGUUGAGGUUGGCGGAAUUCGUCGUGUAGCGGUGAAAUGCAUAGAUAUGACGAAGAACUCCGAUUGCGUAGGCAGCUGACCAAGCCGUAAAUGACGCUCAUGCACGAAAGUGCGGGGAUCGAACAGGAUUAGAUACCCUGGUA
rnacentral:rRNA from 1 species